AACGAACGCUGGCGGCGUGGAUUAGGCAUGCAAGUCGAACGCGAAAGAGGGGGUAACUCCUCGAGUAGAGUGGCGAACGGGUGAGUAACACGUGAGAAACCUGCCUUCAGCAGGGGGAUAACACUCCCAACGGGGUGCUAAUACCGCAUGAGACCACGGAUUCGCAUGGAUCUGGGGUCAAAGGUGGCCUCUGCUUGCAAGCUACCGGCUGAAGAUGGUCUCGCGCCCAUUAGCUAGUUGGUGGGGUAAUGGCCCACCAAGGCGACGAUGGGUAGCUGGUCUGAGAGGAUGGUCAGCCACACUGGGACUGAGAUACGGCCAGACUCCUACGGGAGGCAGCAGUCGA
rnacentral:rRNA from 1 species